UGGCGAAUUAGCUCAGUCGGUUAGAGCGACGGAAUCAUAAUCCGCAGGUCCGGGGUUCGAGUCCCUGAUUCGCCACCAU
rnacentral:tRNA from 2 species